UCAGCAUCGGUUUUUUUUAUUUUGUGUUAGUUUUUUUAGGAAAGAUCUGAUCAAAAAAGCAAUUAGUCGAACUGUCAUGGAGUCAGAGGAGGUUAAUUAUCCUACAGAGACGGAGGGGGAACAGUACGGAGGCUGACAGUGAGCCGCGGUAAUGAAGGUUGUGCUGGAAGGAGAGCGGAGGAGCAGAAAGGUCGAGGUCAUUAGUAAGAGACAGCUGCCGGAGACGGAGUGACACAUCGGGGGACGGGUGAGGAUGACACACCCCUGUCUUCCUGUGAGAGCAGAACAAAAUGAUGAGCUGACAGAUGUUACUGUUUCAUCAGUGAUGCUGUGAGGCAGCAGCAGAAUUAACCACUGGAAACGAUCGUUGUGUGUAAAACACUGUUAAUAUGUAGGUAGCAAUUACUGUUGCUUUGUUAGAAGGCCCUUCACUUUACAUGAGGACUAUUUUUUACAAUUUAAUUGAUGAAAUUAAAAUACUGUUUUUGUUUUCUGUUUUGGGAAAAGAAAAAAGAUGAUUUAAUUGCAGUUUCCAUUCAAAUUUUUUUGAUAUUGAAAUCGUUAUUUUUUGAAGAAUAUAAAACACACUUCAUAACGAUAUAUUAAAACUACUAUUGUAAGUUCCAUGUCUCCUAUUGACAGAACUGACUCUCUUCUUUGUAUUUAUGUCUUUAACAAAUUAAAUAAUAAUAAAAAAGAAACACACUAGGACUUGACAAGUCACACAAAAAAUUCCAGAAUACUGUUGUUGUGACAAUUGAUUUAUUUCCACAUAGAAAUCACUUACAUGAGCUGAAGUGAAAGUCCUCACAAAACAGGGCAAAUGCAGGAAAUCCAGGGAAGCUAAGACACAGAAAUUAUUUUUUAAAAUCCCCCCCCCCAAAAAAAACAUCAU